GUAGGGAAUAUUGCGCAAUGGACGAAAGUCUGACGCAGCGACGCCGCGUGAGUGAUGAAGGCCUUAGGGUCGUAAAGCUCUGUUGAAUGGGAAGAAAAAAAUGACGGUACCAUUCGAGGAAGGACCGGCUAACUUCGUGCCAGCAGCCGCGGUAAUACGAGGGGUCCUAGCGUUGUUCGGAAUCAUUGGGCGUAAAGGGUGGGUAGGUGGCCAUGUAAGUCAGGUGUGAAAGCCCCGGGCUCAACCCGGGAAGUGCACUUGAUACUGCGUGGCUUGAGUACCGAAGAGGGUAGUGGAAUUCCAGGUGUAGUGGUGAAAUACGUAGAUAUCUGGAGGAACACCGGUGGCGAAGGCGGCUACCUGGUCGAGUACUGACACUGAGACACGAAAGCAUGGGGAUCAAACAGGAUUAGAUACCCCGGUAGUCC
rnacentral:rRNA from 1 species